AAGACGAACGCUGGCGGCGUGCUUAACACAUGCAAGUCGAGCGGUAAGGCCUCUUCGGGGGUACACGAGCGGCGAACGGGUGAGUAACACGUGAGUAAUCUGCCCUUCACUUCGGGAUAAGCUUCGGAAACGGGGUCUAAUACCGGAUACGACACUUUCAGGCAUCUGAUGAGUGUGGAAAGUUUUUUCGGUGGGGGAUGUGCUCGCGGCCUAUCAGCUUGUUGGUGGGGUAAUGGCCUACCAAGGCUUCGACGGGUAGCCGGCCUGANAGGGUGACCGGCCACACUGGGACUGAGACACGGCCCAGACUCCUACGGGAGGCANCAUGUGGGGAAUAUUGGACAAUGGGCGGAANCCUGAUCCAG
rnacentral:rRNA from 1 species